GUUUCAGGGCUCUUGUAUUGUCUGUGGAAUUUAUGUUGCUUUAGAACACACAUUUAUAAAAAGGAGGUUCCAAUACUGAGAAAUACCAAGUACAGAUUUUAAAGAGUUACUUCAUUGGGAAUGGAGGUGGGAUAAAGCAAAGCCAUGGGCAGAGAGGUGUGACAGGCAUUUGUGAAGUUAGAGCAAGGGCAUGACAAAGUUUGCCCAGUGAAAAGGAGCAAAUAUGGAGGACUUAUGCAUGAGGCUGAAAUUUCUGAUAUAGAGGAGAGAGGCUGGUUUGGAGCAGAGGACUGGAGUGGAUAACCAACUUGUGUUCUUCACGUGUAGCUCAACUAGGAGGCUGAAAACUUGGCACUUUAUUUAGGAUAAAGGCUCCUCCCAAACUGCAGAGAAGCCUGCUAAAUAUUGGAAGAAGAUCUAACUAGCAACUAGUACAGAGUGUUAUAUGAUUGGUAACAAAUCCCUUUCUGUAGCUGUUUGCUGCUGCAGGCUAUUUUAGGCAGAUGAUUGUUUUCAGUAUAAUGGCUAACGCUGUAUGUUUGUACAUCGCUUUGAAACAAUGACGACAUUACGAGAUUGCUCUCAUACCUACUCUUUGUUUUCCGCAAAUUCAUUUUCCAUUACACAGCAUUUAUAAAGACUACAACAAGAACUUUCCAUACUCUAUUUAAAAUAACUGUUCUUAUGAGAGGACCUUGUGCAAUGAAGUCAGAGAGACUUCGCCUAUGGCACAUAUGGCCAGGGCAAAAACUUCAUACCAUUUACAAGCUAUAACUGUGACACCCUGCAUCCUGCAUAUUCAAAAAUUUGCUGUGGGGACCUUCGUGACAUUUGCUACUUAACCAGCUGUAUAUUGGGGAUGGGAGGUGCUUUUCCAUCCUUGUCCGCUGUUUGCUCAUCGGAACCGUAGCUGAGAAACCUUAUGGGAAGAGCAGACGGGUUGUGUCUCCCUGAGACAUGUUUAUAUAAAGCCACUUGUUGCUCUGCAUUGUGUUUCUGGCUAUAAGCAGUCACAGUGGAUGUAUACUGCUGCAGACCCAAGUAACUCCAACUCCAGAGCCUGUCCCUUUAGCCCCAGUCUCUGACGACCGGAUUUAUUUGGUUCUGAAGGCAGGUAUUAUCUCAAUAUGUGUUUUUAUAUUGCAAUAGCUUUAGGUCUUCAGAUAC